AUGAAUACACUCCAGACCACGUCGGAAUGCUCCGAGGGGCAAUUGCAGGUUGUAACAACCUGGUACAUCAAUCUGUACGGGGCGAAUCCGCCAGUCCCCAAGUUCAAAGAAUUUAUUGUGAAAUGCGGGAAUCUCCAGAAACUAUGGGUGAUGGACCUAAUUAGGGACGAUGGUUUAGCUGUCGUGGCCUUAAGUUGCAAGAAAUUGCAAGAGCUUCGGGGUUUUUCCAUUAUGACAAAUGAGAAGCUGAAGAAUAUUGCAGAAGCCCAUCCCUGUCUCACCCACUUCCGGUUAGGGAUCCAUAAUCCCAAGGAAAGAGAUUACAGCACAGGAGAAUAUUUUGAUGAAGGCUUUGGCGCAAUUGCGAGAUCUUGCAAGGGCCUUAAACGCCUCUCAUUGGGCGGUUAUCUCACAGACCGUGUGUUCAAAUAUAUUGGUGACCAUGCCAAGAGUCUUCAUAUGUUCUCCACUGCCUUCACUGGGACAACUGAACAAGGCCUGGAUGACGUCCUCAGAGGUUGCAAGAGCCUCAGGAAAAUGGAUGUCAAAGGCUGCCCAUUUGGGAAUAAGGCAUUGCUCCAAAAUACUGAAAAGCUGAAAACAAUGAGGUCAUUUUUCAUGUCAGGGUGCCCCCCACUGACCGUGGGCGGAUGUAAAGAGCUAGCCAAAAAUAUUCAUGGGUUUGCUUUUGAAAUCCUAAUGAAUUAUGAUUGGAGAACAUGCCCACCUGGGGAUGAAUGCCAGGUCGAAAGAUUGUUUGUCUACCCGACAAUUUCCAAUCAAAGGCCCGACGCACCAAACUGUGUCCGCAGUUUUUGGUACCCAGUCCCAAAAUAG
rnacentral:rRNA from 1 species